rnacentral:rRNA from 1 species
GAUGAACGCUGGCGGCGUGCUUAACACAUGCAAGUCGAACGGAAAGGCCACAGCUUGCUGUGGUACUCGAGUGGCGAACGGGUGAGUAACACGUGGGUGAUCUGCCCUGUACUUCGGGAUAAGCUUGGGAAACUGGGUCUAAUACCGGAUAGGAAUCACAUGUGGGUGUGUGGUUGGAAAGCUUUUGCGGUAUGGGAUGAGCUCGCGGCCUAUCAGCUUGUUGGUGGGGUAAUGGCCUACCAAGGCGUUGACGGGUAGCCGGCCUGAGAGGGUGUACGGCCACAUUGGGACUGAGAUACGGCCCAGACUCCUACGGGAGGCAGCAGUGGGGAAUAUUGCACAAUGGGCGCAAGCCUGAUGCAGCGACGCCGCGUGGGGGAUGACGGCCUUCGGGUUGUAAACUCCUUUCGUCAGGGACGAAGCGAAAGUGACGGUACCUGGAGAAGAAGCACCGGCUAACUACGUG